CAGAGUUGCAAGACUCCCUAAACCAUUGUGAACCUACCUUCUACCGUUGCUUCGGCGGGCGGGCCCAGCGCUCCCCCCGGCCCCCCGCGGGCGCCCGCCGGAGGAUACCCAAACUCUUGACAUUAGUGGCCUCUCUGAGUAUUCUUUACUGAAUAAGUCA
rnacentral:misc_RNA from 1 species